UCUUGGAGGAGCGGCUCUGAAGCGAGGGUCUGCCACUGUCGGGAGCCUAGAGGGGAAGAAGCUGGCCUGGGCCAGGCCCCAGAAGUGGACGAGAGAGGGUCUGGACAUGCUGCGCCUACUGCCGGGGCCCCUUGGACGCAGCAACAGUUUGGUUCUAAGAGCCCGUCAGCUGGUCUGAGCCAGCUUCUGACAGUUGCAGCCAAGAAUCCUAAUUCAAACGCCCACGGCUCUGCCAGGCCGCCAAGAUGGGUUCCCAUAACCUGAGCUCCCUCUCCAAUUCAGACAGACUCUGGAGGGCUCCCCAGGGAACACAUGAUUGAGCCCACUUACCAAGCCGGCAGGCUUCUCUCUCCAGGAAGGCACCAAAUUUUCAUGGACCAGCUCACAAGCUGGAGCCUGGGGUGGCUCCACACCCCAAGCAGGCAGGCUCCUUCACACAGGAGGACACCCUGGCAAGGGGUGCCUGAGAGCAGGGCCCCACAGGCCUGGGUGCUGUUCUCUAUCACCUCAUCAGGAGCAGGACCGACUGCCAAGGCCGCCGUGGUAGGGAAGUUUCUCCACAAGAUUGUGCUUAUACGUUUUGCGUUGCCAUAAAAGAACGCCGGAGACUGGGCCGUUUAUAAAGAAGAGAGGUUUAUUUGGUCCACAGUUCUGCAGGCAGUACCGGAGGCAUGGCAGCAGCAUCUGCUUGGGGCCAUGCAGUUCCCACCCAGAUGGGAACGCAGAAGUGCUGAGAAGCCUCUGGCUGCUGAGAAGGACCGGAGA